rnacentral:tRNA from 1 species
GCUGGCGUAGCUUAAGCCAAAGCAUGACACUGAAGAUGUUAAGAUGAAUUUUGAUAACAUUCCGCAGGCA